UCGAGACGAAUUUUUAAGUUUAGUUAGUUCAUACAAUAAUUAUUAAAUACAAUAAAAGUGUUUAAAUAAAAAAACAGAUCUAAACGGGCCAUACCUAUCCAGUCCUCCUCCUGAUUUGACAUAUGAUUCGUAGGCUUCAGAUCUUCCAUUAUUAAUGCCAGUAUAUACAGUACUCCACCGUACUGUUACGCACAUGUACACGCCACACCCGCACGGUCCCGGCCCUUUGGCUGCACGCAGGCACGCAGGAAUCGUUUAGAGUCUAGUACUCCGUAAGAGAGAUGCUCCAAAAGCUCCUGCAAUAUACCGAAAGAAUCGUCUAGAUAGAUACACCAUCUCAGCCAUUGUAAUUGUAAUCAUGAGACAAUAAUACACCAUCUUGAUUUCUACUCGAGGCCUUGUUUAGUUCUAAAAAAUUGCAAAAAAUUUUUAAUUUCUUUUCACAUCGAAUUAUGUAGCACACCUAUUGAACAAUAAAAAAAGAAAAAAAACUAAAUAUAUAGUUUAUAUAUAAUCUAUG
rnacentral:lncRNA from 1 species